UCAAGUGGGGCGGGGGGAGCAGCCAAUGAGAAGGCCUGGGGCUCCCACCCCCUUUCCCGGCUCCCCAACGUCCUCUGCCCUCCUCUGCUUUUGCUCAGUGAUGCUGGCAGUCAGGGCUCGCCGGGAGACGUGACCGGGAUGUGCUAUGAUCGAACAAGAGUAAGCAGGAGCAAGGUCAACUGGGCUGCUCUUCAAGGACAGAGAGAGCACUUGGCUCCUGCAGGCUGAUUUCUCACUGGACGGGCUCCCCCUGCCACUGGCUGGGCUCCCUUCCCCCUACUCCCUUCCCCUUUCUCCCUCAUCGAAGUCUGCUCUCCAGAAAGGUCCAGAUGUCAGUCCUUUACACUUCAAC